AAAGAUUUAACUUAUUCAGCAAUGGAUGUAUGGAUAAACAAAUUGUGGUACAUGUAUUCAAGACAGCAUUAUUCAGUCAUAUAAAAGAAGGAAUAUCUGCUAAACAGUAAAUGAACCAAGCUGGAGAAGAGACAGAUGCAGACCACCUUUUCUGAUUCCUAGGAGCCUUCUGGAAUUAGGCAUCUCACAUUAAUUCAUCUUCUGACAGAAA
rnacentral:lncRNA from 1 species